GAUGAACGCUGGCGGCGUGCCUAAUAAUUGCAGGUCAAGGGAACGGAUAAGAAGUUUGCUCCCCGGACGUUGGCGCCGGCCGGGGGAUAACCCCGUGGUAAACCUACCAUUAGGCCGGGAUAACUUUGGGAAACCGGAGCUAAUACCGGAAAAAUUUUUUAACCCCCUGGUUUCAUAGUUAAAGGCGGGUUUGCUGUUACUUAUAGAUGGAUCCGCGCCGCAUUAGCUAGUUGGUAAGGUAACGGCUUACCAAGGCAACGAUGCGUAGCCGACCUGAGAGGGUGAUCGGCCACACUGGAACUGAGACACGGUCCAGACUCCUACGGGAGGCAGCAGUAGGGAAUCUUCCGCAAUGGGCGAAAGCCUGACGGAGCAACGCCGCGUGAGUGAUGAAGGUCUUCGGAUCGUAAAACUCUGUUAUUAGGGAAGAACAAAUGUGUAAGUAACUAUGCACGUCUUGACGGUACCUAAUCAGAAAGCCACGGCUAACUACGUG
rnacentral:rRNA from 1 species